rfam:Merops nubicus contig71226, whole genome shotgun sequence.
GCAGACUCACUCUGUGCUGAACUGCACUCUUCAGUUCAGGUGCUUUUCCCGUCUGCGAGAGGAAUCGUUCACGGGAGUGACAACUGCCUUCUUUCUUGUAGAAGGCUGUCACAAGUGCUGGUGGGACAUGGCU